GCUACCGUCGGCACUGGAGGGCCUGGGGAGAGGGGAACUGGCUAAAGGGCAAAAUGUCACUGAGGAACUUCGGAGAAGAUGGGGACAAGGCGUCGGGCGGGGGAGCCAGCGCUCAGGUGAGAACUAGGAAGGGGGCGGCGCCCAGGGACCGGCUCCAGGCGGCGGCGGGCGGGGAGCUGCCAGGAGGUGGGUGUGCGUAUCUGGGUGUGUCCCGGCUGCGGUGGGGGAGGGGGCCGCCCUUCCCGGGGUCCUGAGGGAGGGGCCCCGCGAGGGGGCGGGUCCGGCAGAUCAGCCCGGCCGGGGGCCAAGGGGGUGGAAGGUCGCCCGGUGCCUGGAGGCGGGGUGAAGGAAAGUAGCUGAGCGCCCCAGGAGCGCGCUGCGGCGGAGGGCGGGCGAGGUGACCCCGGUGCAGGGAAGUGGCACUGGGGUGUGGGGCCCGAGUCCAGUCAAGGAGCAGCACCUACCUCCGGGGGUGGAAAUGGGCCGGAAUGGGCCGGAACACCGUCCCGGAAGUGAAAUCCCCCACCCCCUCCCACGGAGCGGGCGACGUGCCGGAAGGAAAUCACUCAGCCUUACACCGCCCCCCCUUCCCCCAUCCCCAGAGCUUUCCUUGCCUCGCGCCCCCUCCCCUCUCUGCUCUUCCUCCUCAGUCGGGAGGAGGGCGGGAGCACGGCAUCACGUGGACGGUCAUGUCUCUGCCCACAAUGGCGAGGAAGGGCGGGGAAAAGGGGCGGACUUAAGGGGUGGGAAGAAGGUGAUACUGGAUGAGAGGAAGAUUGAGGGAGGUUAGGGGGAGGAGCCGAAGCGGACGCUGCCGGGAGCGUGCGUCGUGACGUCAUCAAAAGAACUCUUAUAUACAGGAGCCCAGGCACCAUACUGUCUUUUCGAGGUAGGAGUCGACUCCUGUGAGGUAUGUUUUAUCUUUGCGAAUGUUGCGGGUUUUGGGGCGCUCCAGCCUUUGUCUGCUAAGGUCACCCUGAAUUGACUGGGACUUCUAAGCCAGUCGCGCGCCUUUGCAGGGCCUACAAGUUGAGGAUGGUGGGGGAUUGCACAUAUGGUGCAUGCGUGACCUAAGCUGCGACUAUGUUAGAGUAGAACUGCGGAGAAGCCUCGGCUCUCGUGCCCUGCCUCUGAUGAAGCCUGUGUUGGUAGGGACAUCUGAGAGUAAUGAUGAAUGCCAACCGCUCUGAUGGUGGCACAUGCCGAGUCACCCGAGUAAGCUAUUGUUAAGGGCCGUGACCCGAGCCUCCAUCAGCCGUCCGCUCUCAUGAAAGGCUGUCGGUGGUAGUCCACGUGCUUAAGUGCCUGCAUUCCGCAGUGUCACCAAUAUUUCCAUUAGUGUUUCUUUUUUCUUUUUUGAGACCGAGCCUCGUUCUGUCACCCAGGCUGGAAUGCAGUGGCUCGACAUCGGUUAAUGGCAACCUCCGCGUCCCGAGUUAAGCAGUUCUGCCUCAGCCUCCCAAGUAACUGGGACUACAGGCGCGCGCCACCAUGCUAGGCUUUUAUAUUUUUAGUAGAGACGGGGUUUCACCAUGUUGGCGAGACUGGUCUUGAACUCCUGACCUCAGGUGAUCCACCAGCCGUGGUCCCCCAACAUACUGGGAUUACAAGCCGUGAGCCACCGCGCCCGGCCGCCAUCGGUGGUUCUUAACUGCGGGUGCAGUGCUUCUUUGUAACAUUAAGUGUAUCCUUUACCUGUCGCUAGAUAAUGAAUGGUAUGGUGCUGGGUGCAGAUGCAGUGUGGCUCUGGAUAGCACCUUAUGGACAGUUGUGUCCCCAAGGAAGGAUGAGAAUAGCUACUGAAGUCCUAAAGAGCAAGCCUAACUCAAGCCAUUGGCACACAGGCAUUAGACAGAAAGCUGGAAGUUGAAAUGGUGGAGUCCAACUUGCCUGGACCAGCUUAAUGGUUCUGCUCCUGGUAACGUUUUUAUCCAUGGAUGACUUGCUUGGGUAUGGAGAGUCGGCUUGACUACACUGUGUGGAGCAAGUUUUAAAGAAGCAAAGGACUCAGAAUUCAUGAUUGAAGAAAUGCAGGCAGACCUGUUAUCCUAAACUAGGGUUUUUAAUGACCACAACAAGCAAGCAUGCAGCUUACUGCUUGAAAGGGUCUUGCCUCACCCAAGCUAGAGUGCAGUGGCCUUUGAAGCUUACUACAGCCUCAAACUUCUGGGCUCAAGUGAUCCUCAGCCUCCCAGUGGUCUUUGUAGACUGCCUGAUGGAGUCUCAUGGCACAAGAAGAUUAAAACAGUGUCUCCAAUUUUAAUAAAUUUUUGCAAUCCAUCUGGAGUGUGUAGUGU
rnacentral:lncRNA from 1 species